CAGUAAUACUCUCUAAUUAUUAUGACCUGCCAUUCAAUGACAUUCCGAAUUGGCAUAAAUUUUCGGUCAUACUGAAGGAGAAAGAUGUCUACCAGCUGAAGCGAAUUCUCAAGAACAUAACACAAGAAGAAUUUGUCAAAUUGCACAACAAUUUGGUCUAGGUAAAAAUCUUUGCAUUAGCAUUAUCUUUAGAAUCCGUAAAUUACGUGUUAUUGUUCACUUUCUCCGUACCAUAAUUCAUUAAUAUGUUUAUGUUAAUGGCUACAAUCAUUAAAGUGUCGUAUAUAUUGUCUUGAUAAGAUAAGAAAGUACAUGUCUCAGUUAAGCAAGAAUUUACCCUUGCAGCUUACAAUUCUAGUGAUGCUCUCAUUUCAGGUCCAGAAGCACUUCCAAUGGAACUCGCUUCCUGUAGAACACGAUGCAUUUCAUAUGAUGAUGUUCGAACUCUGGUUGUGCCAUCACGUGAUCAUGUACUAACUGCUGAAUCUUUACUUCAUCAAAUACUGAUGCCACUGGAUAUUAAAACCUGUAAAUUAUCACCGAGAGUUUGUUUAUUUAGCCCCCGUUUGGUUUCGAUUUUUCACCCCCCAAAAAAUCAAUUUUUGAUUGUUACUUAUUUAAAUCAGUCGUCAUUUUUAAUUUCUUCACUCACAGAUGGG
rnacentral:lncRNA from 1 species